GGCCUAACACAUGCAAGUCGAGCGGGGAAGGUUGCUUCGGUAACUGACCUAGCGGCGGACGGGUGAGUAAUGCUUAGGAAUCUGCCUAUUAGUGGGGGACAACGUUCCGAAAGGAACGCUAAUACCGCAUACGCCCUACGGGGGAAAGCAGGGGAUCUUCGGACCUUGCGCUAAUAGAUGAGCCUAAGUCGGAUUAGCUAGUUGGUGGGGUAAAGGCCUACCAAGGCGACGAUCUGUAGCGGGUCUGAGAGGAUGAUCCGCCACACUGGGACUGAGACACGGCCCAGACUCCUACGGGAGGCAGCAGUGGGGAAUAUUGGACAAUGGGCGGAAGCCUGAUCCAGCCAUGCCGCGUGUGUGAAGAAGGCCUUUUGGUUGUAAAGCACUUUAAGCGAGGAGGAGGCUCCUUUAGUUAAUACCUAAAGAGAGUGGACGUUACUCGCAGAAUAAGCACCGGCUAACUCUGUGCCAGCAGCCGCGGUAAUACAGAGGGUGCGAGCGUUAAUCGGAUUUACUGGGCGUAAAGCGUGCGUAGGCGGCUUUUUAAGUCGGAUGUGAAAUCCCUGAGCUUAACUUAGGAAUUGCAUUCGAUACUGGAAAGCUAGAGUAUGGGAGAGGAUGGUAGAAUUCCAGGUGUAGCGGUGAAAUGCGUAGAGAUCUGGAGGAAUACCGAUGGCGAAGGCAGCCAUCUGGCCUAAUACUGACGCUGAGGUACGAAAGCAUGGGGAGCAAACAGGAUUAGAUACCCUGGUAGUCCAUGCCGUAAACGAUGUCUACUAGCCGUUGGGGCCUUUGAGGCUUUAGUGGCGCAGCUAACGCGAUAAGUAGACCGCCUGGGGAGUACGGUCGCAAGACUAAAACUCAAAUGAAUUGACGGGGGCCCGCACAAGCGGUGGAGCAUGUGGUUUAAUUCGAUGCAACGCGAAGAACCUUACCUGGCCUUGA
rnacentral:rRNA from 1 species